GUUAUUUUAUGAACUUUUAAAAAUUGGAGUAGUGUAAAUUUAACCCUCACCCUAUCUCUUCUAACCAAAUCGACGCCCCCGCCCCAUUCUCAUCUUUGCCCGCCUCCAAACUCGCCGGAACUCGCCCCAAACCCGGCGAGUUCACCCAUUGGUCUCCCCAUGGUCCCCCCUUUCUUCUCCUUCUUCCACGUAGCUAAUCUCAACGAAUUUCAUCAUUUCAAUCUGAUUCACGCGGAUUUCUUCUUUUAUCGCUUUUAUUUUUGUACAAAUCCGAGCCGUGGGAAUAAAGGUGGAAAAUGGGAGCUAUUGGAUUAAAAAUCUUGAUCAAAGACUUGUAUUUUUUGAAUUUUUUUUCAAACAAGGAUUUUUGGAUUUUUGCUUGGGGGUCCACACGAAUUUUUGGAGGAUUUUCGGAUUUCUUGGUAAAGAAGAAUGGAAGAUUCGAGACCCCCUAUAUAUUGGGGGUGAUUUCUCAGGGGAAGAUGGGAGAGAAAAAUGCUAGGGGUUUUUCAGAUUUUUGUUUGUUUUUCAAAUUUCAGUGCAUUCGAAAAUUAGAGUUCUCUUUGGGGUGAUAUUGGAUUUUGUUUCGUACAUAAAAGAAAAAAAAUUAGUUUCUUCUAAUUUUAAUUUCACUUCAAAGUCAGAAAAAUAGAUAAAAAAAAAUCAGUUCCUUCUCCUGUUUUCUUGUUCUAAAUGGAGUUUAGCUGAGGUUCGAGGUUCGAUAUCAGUCGCCAAUCUGAAGUUCCGUCUGGGCUCCUGUCCAAUUCGAGUUUCCAUUGUAGCUGCGAUUUUGUUAUGCUCGUGUAACUGCUGAACCUUUUGGAGAAAUUGAAGUUCCAGUUUUCAGGUGCAUUUCUUCCCCUAAUGAUCUCACUUAUUGGUAUCCUUAAGUAUGAUAAGAGCUAUAAAGAACUAACCUCCAUGGUGAUAGAUAUUUGAUUGUAUUUUAGUAGAGGUUGUGUUCGGAGUCAGUUUCUGAUUGCGACUUGUUGUUUGAAAAAGAUUUUUUGAUCUAUGCUUGUUUUUCGAUGCAAUAUCUUAUUGUCUGAUAUUUAUGAAUAAGAGUAACUGAAUAUGGCAAUGUCCAUAUUGUAUUCGAGUCUCCAGAUUACAUUCGUUCGUCUUUGACUUAUUGACGUAUGAUCCGUUCUUUUCUGUUGGUUUGUAUUGAGCCCAGUUUUCAUGUGUUUCAAAUGAUUGCUUAGUAUUCAUGCUAGAUUUUGAAUGGCUUUUUACAUUGAGAUUCAGUUGAGGAGUUCUGUUUCUAUCUUGUGGUUGAACUAGUUCCUUGGGUAUCAAAAGUGGUAGAAUACUUACACAUUAGAUUCAGAAUGUUAUGUCCAUUUGGUGAAGUUUAAGUUGAUCGACUUCCCUGUUUGAAAUUGCAAAAUCGUGCUUCACUCUUCAUGUUGACUAAGAGAUCGUUUACAUGAGUAAGUUUAAAAUGACUGAUUCUUUUCUUUCGAUCUUGCCGGCCUAAUCAAGUUGAAUCCGCUAAUCAUGGAAUACCUGUGAUGGUGUCUCCCUGUGUAACUGAACUAACUGUAUGAGGAUCAUUAGGGCUCAGAUUCAUCUAACUCUUCUUCAUGGCUCUAUCUGCAUUUAGCUUCACUCUUAAACAACAUAAGUUCAACGUUAAGGAACUGACAUGAUCUAAUUGAGAAGUUGUUACAAAGUUCUGAAGUUCUACCUGAUCGGAAAUUCCAUGAUUUUUGUUAUUGAAGGGUCAGAUGUUGUGUUUGAUAAAUUGGAGGUCCUUUAAAUUUUUGAACUUACCCUGUGGGACUGUCAUAUUUUGAAUAAAGGUAUCUGAUAUGAGAUUAACCUGCUUGAGUUUGUGGUUUUGGGGUUGAAAGAUUUAUUGGGGUCAAGAAUUUAUUCAGGGUUCGGGUUAGAUUCUGUUGCUACUAGAUGUAAGCUAUCGUGCAAAUACUAUUGGUCGUUUAUGUGAAUGUUAACUUUUUAUGCUUUUCUUUAGAACAUGUUCAUUGAAUUCUUUGUGCGAAGCAUGUGACAUGGGUGUCAUUUGAGUACUAUUAGUGAAAUACUUUGAUAUUUUGAAUUUUGAAUUAAGUUAGGAUGUCAGUUUGUCCAGGGAGGUGCCUCAUAGAUCUUGUCAUUUUAUCCACUUGAUUUACCUUUUGAUCUCCUAGUAUUCUUGUUUAGUCGUUCACCUGUUAUUAGUAGUAUGUCUAUGUCGAAUUCCUUUGUUGAUGCGUGUUAAGUCCUUUUAAGAUUGAAUAGAGUUCUAGUUGUUCGGUUGUGGGGGUUAGCUUUUUAAACGUGGUGGAAACCGGGGUUGGAUAAUCUCGUUACUCUUUUAUUCUUACUCUCAUGAAUUUGAACGAUAGUAGCAUGCUUAGGCCGACUGCGCUUGGGUAGGCAAGCCUUAGAAUUGUUUGUUAGCUUUUGAGGCAAGAGGUCGUCCCUUUAGUUAAAUUUAUCUGGAAAAUUUUCCGAAGGACUUGUAUAUAUUUUAUUCCGAGGAAUACCCCGAAGUACUUGUAUUUGGAGGCCAAAAGUGAAACUCGUAGUAUUUUUUAGUUUCUAUUUAAAUUUCCUUUAUUAGGCAGGGAUGACCUCGAACCUCUUGUGUGUUUACUUAUUUUGCUUUUCUGUGUUGUUCUUACCUCAAUUAAAUAUUUUAAAACCAACUAGAUCGAUUACGCAACCAUGACCUUCACGGGACUUGGGGAGUGCCUAACACCUUCUCCCCGAGUCAAAUGAACCUCCUUACCCUAAUCUCUGGUGCGGACUUAGUUUUGAGUCCAAGUAUUUUAAAAGGACAAUAUUUUCUAUAAACUGGUGCCUGGCACACCGAAAACAAAUGACAGGUGGCGAUUUUGAGUCAUUUUCUUUUAAACACCAUUUUUGUCACUUUCAAAAUUGAAAAACCUUUUUCAAAUUUUCUUUACCAAAUCUUUUUAUUUAUUUAAGAGGGUUAAGUGAAGGUUUGUUUAAAAAAGGGGUGUGACAGUGUCUUCGUAAUAGACUUCCAUCUAAAAAGUACCUAGAACAUAUUGAUACGACAUUGACCCAAUUUGUCUCAUAUGAGACAAAAGAGAAGUAGAGUCUAUCACACAUAUCUGUAUGAAUUGCUCCAUAAGUAAAGCUUUUUGGGAUAACUUAGGGGGCUCACCAUGAGUGAUCCAUCUAAAGGCCACUGGCUGACUCACUUACAAAAUCAAAAAAUCUCUAUAAGACAUAACCAAAUUGACUGAAAUUUUAUUCUCCCCUUCACCCUAUGGGAAAUUUGGAUUACAAGGAAUGAAAUAACCAAAAAAAUAUGAAAAAAUUGUUUUCUUUAAAAAAAAUUUUGCAAAAAACAGUGGAGUACAAAAUGCUGAUGCGAUACAACCCUCUCCCCAUCCAAAAGAUUCGUAUCCAAAUUAAGUGGCAAAGGCCUCCAAAAGGAUGGCAUAAGCUUAAUGUAGAUGCUAGUCACAACAACUUCCAAAUCUCUCUAUGGGGAGUAUUCCGUAACAAUGAUGGGCAUUGGGUUGUUGGAUUUACGAAAAACAUUGUUGCGAUGUGGACCACUAGAAGCUGAAUUAAAAUCAAUUAAGGAGGGACUCAAAACUGCCCAGGAGUGAGACUUGUUUCCACUUCAAAUCGAAAUAGAUUGUGCAGAGACCAUUCAAGCUACACUAUGUGGUAACAAACUGUUUGAUGAUAUUGUUACUUUUUGCAGGUCGUUAAUGCACCAAAGGAAGGUGACCCUCCUCCAGCACACGUUUAGGGAGUGCAACAGUGUCGCCUACGCCUUGUCUAAGAUGGAAGGAAGCUCAGGGUGAAGAAGAAGUUUUUGUGGUAGCACCAAAUGUGGCUUUUAAUCUUAUUGACUAUGAUAUAGACAAAUAUCGUUGUUUUGUUAAGUACUUAUCUAUUAAUGCUUGCAAUAGUUUAGCAAGCUUAGGCAAUCAAUGUGUACUAAGUGACAUACAAUUAGGCAAUAUUAUAAUAAAUGCUAUUUAGUUUUUAAUAUAUAUGCUUUCUGUUUACUCAAAAAAAAAAAAAUUUAACUCAACGAACUACGUUUCCUUUUUAGAGGUCGUAUAUUUUAAAUUCACAUUUGCUU
rnacentral:lncRNA from 1 species